rnacentral:rRNA from 1 species
CGGACGGGUGAGUAAUGUCUGGGAAACUGCCUGAUGGAGGGGGAUAACUACUGGAAACGGUAGCUAAUACCGCAUAACGUCGCAAGACCAAAGAGGGGACCUUCGGGCCUCUUGCCAUCGGAUGUGCCCAGAUGGGAUUAGCUAGUAGUGGGGUAACGGCUCACCUAGGCGACGAUCCCUAGCUGGUCUGAGAGGAUGACCAGCCACACUGGAACUGAGACACGGUCCAG